UNUGACCUGAGUGCAGAAGGGGAGAGUGGAAUUCCAUGUGUAGCGGUGAAAUGCGUAGAUAUAUGGAGGANCACCAGUGGCGAAAGCGGCUCUCUGGUCUGUCACUGACGCUGAGGCUCGAAAGCGUGGGUAGCGAACAGGAUUAGAUACCCUGGUAGUNCACGCCGUAAACGAUGAGUGCUAGGUGUUAGGCCCUUUCCGGGGCUUAGUGCCGGAGCUAACGCAAUAAGCACUCCGCCUGGGGAGUACGACCGCAAGGUUGAAACUCAAAGGAAUUGACGGGGGCCCGCACAAGCGGUGGAGCAUGUGGUUUAAUUCGAAGCAACGCGAAGAACCUUACCAGGUCUUGACAUCCCGAUGCUAUUCUUAGAGAUAGGAAGUUACUUCGGUACAUCGGAGACAGGUGGUGCAUGGUUGUCGUCAGCUCGUGUCGUGAGAUGUUGGGUUAAGUCCCGCAACGAGCGCAACCCUUAUUGUUAGUUGCCAUCAUUAAGUUGGGCACUCUAGCGAGACUGCCGGUAAUAAACCGGAGGAAGGUGGGGAUGACGUCAAAUCAUCAUGCCCCUUAUGACCUGGGCUACACACGUGCUACAAUGGUCGGUACAACGAGUUGCGAGCCGGUGACGGCAAGCUAAUCUCUGAAAGCCGAUCUCAGUUCGGAUUGGAGGCUGCAACUCGCCUCCAUGAAGUCGGAAUCGCUAGUAAUCGCGGAUCAGCACGCCGCGGUGAAUACGUUCCCGGGCCUUGUACACACCGCCCGUCACACCACGAGAGUUUGUAACACCCGAAGUCGGUGAGGUAACCUUUUAGGGGCCAGCCGCCUAAGG
rnacentral:rRNA from 1 species